AUUGAACGCUGGCGGAAUGCCUUACACAUGCAAGUCGAACGGCAGCACGGACUCCGGUCUGGUGGCGAGUGGCGAACGGGUGAGUACCAUAUCGGAACGUAUCCAAUAAUGGGGGAUAACGAGUCGAAAGAUUCGCUAAUACCGCAUACGCCCUACGGGGGAAAGCUGGGGACCUUCGGGCCUGGCGUUAAUGGAGCGGCCGAUAUCUGAUUAGCUAGUUGGUGAGGGAAAGGCUCACCAAGGCGACGAUCAGUAGCUGGUCUGAGAGGACGACCAGCCACACUGGAACUGAGACACGGUCCAGACUCCUACGGGAGGCAGCAGUGGGGAAUUUUGGACAAUGGGCGAAAGCCUGAUCCAGCCAUUCCGCGUGCAGGAUGAAGGCCCUCGGGUUGUAAACUGCUUUUGUACAGAACGAAAAGGUUUCUACUAAUACUAGGAGCUCAUGACGGUACUGUAAGAAUAAGCACCGGCUAACUACGUGCCAGCCGCCGCCGUAA
rnacentral:rRNA from 1 species